AAAGCUUGCUUUUGAAAGUCGAGUGGCAAACGGGUGAGUAACGCGUAGACAACCUGCCGUAAAGAUGGGGACAACAGUCCGAAAGGACUGCUAAUACCGAAUGUUGUGGAACUUCCGCAUGGGAGCUCUACUAAAGAUGGCCUCUACUUGUAAGCUAUCGCUUUACGAUGGGUCUGCGUCUGAUUAGCUAGUUGGUGGGGUAACGGCCUACCAAGGCGACGAUCAGUAGCCGGUCUGAGAGGAUGAACGGCCACAUUGGAACUGAGACACGGUCCAGACUCCUACGGGAGGCAGCAGUGGGGAAUCUUCCGCAAUGGGCGCAAGCCUGACGGAGCAACGCCGCGUGAGUGAAGAAGGGUUUCGACUCGUAAAGCUCUGUUGUCGGGGACGAAUGUGGAGAUGGUGAAUAACCAUUUCCAAUGACGGUACCUGACGAGGAAGCCACGGCUAACUACGUGCCAGCAGCCGCGGUAAUACGUAGGUGGCGAGCGUUGUCCGGAAUUAUUGGGCGUAAAGGGAGCGCAGGCGGGAGAUCAAGUCUAUCUUAAAAGUGCGGGGCUCAACCCCGUGAGGGGAUGGAAACUGGUCUUCUUGAGUGCAGGAGAGGAAAGCGGAAUUCCUAGUGUAGCGGUGAAAUGCGUAGAUAUUAGGAGGAACACCAGUGGCGAAGGCGGCUUUCUGGACUGUAACUGACGCUGAGGCUCGAAAGCGUGGGGAGCGAACAGGAUUAGAUACCCUGGUAGUCCACGCCGUAAACGAUGAAUGCUAGGUGUAGGAAGUAUCGACCCCUCCUGUGCCGGAAGUAACGCAUAAGCAUUCCGCCUGGGGGAGUACGGCCGCAAGGCUGAACUCAAAGGAAUUGACGGGGGCCGCACAGCGGGUGGAGUAUGUGGUUUAAUUUCGACGCAACGCGAAGAACUUACCAAGGCUUGACAUUGA
rnacentral:rRNA from 1 species